CCGCUACUACUACGUGUCGUCUCCUUGAACAAGUUCUUUAUCUUACCUCGAGCGAGGCAACCGGCAGCAGCCUCCGCUGCCAGAGUGCCGGUGGGCGCGCGAUGCACCAGCUUUCCCUGGCCGCGCGGCCGCCGGCGCCGCAGUCUCAGUGUUCUCGGAGUAGGACGGCGUGCCGCUGUAGCCUGAAGCAGGCGCCUGCCUCUCUCGCCGUGGCCGCAAGACGGUGCGCUGCCGCGCCGCUCUUGGCCGCGUCGCUCCUCCUCGCCGCCGCCGCCGCGUCUCCUGGCAUUCCUGCCGGUACUCCACCAGCGUUUGCCCAAUCCCAAGGCGCGGCGCUGUUCCGGAAAGCGUGCAUCGGGUGCCACGACACGGGAGGGAACAUCCUACAGCCGGGCGCCACCCUCUCCAUGAAGGAUCUUGAGAGGAACGGAGUUGCCACGGAGGAAGAGAUAUACAACAUCACUUACUACGGGAAGGGAAGGAUGCCGGGUUAUGGAGAGCAAUGCACGCCGAGAGGGCAGUGUACCUUCGGCCCCCGGCUGCCUGAAGAGGAUAUCAAGAUGCUUGCAGCAUUUGUCAAAUCGCAAGCAGAGAACGGGUGGCCAAAGAUCGACGGUGAUGUCGAGUGAUCCGAUUACGGUUGAACACGAGGUGCUGGCUCCAUUUCGCGAGGAGGCUGAAACCAUAACUGUUGAUGAGAUUGAUGUGCCAUCCUUGGAUAUGUGGAGGGGCACUUUUGAAGAUCUUGUCAUUGCGCUGAAUUCAAAUAUUCCAACAACCCAUAAUGAUGCUUUCAAGGAAAAUUGUUUCCCUCACGACAUCAACGAGAGGUGGCAAUGAUGACCUAUUGAAUUAUGGUCUCUCCGGUCUCUCCUUACAUCGACAACGUUUGAAAUGGACUGACAAAGGACCUUUGAGAGUUUGUGUUGCUAGAUCUAUUGGCUUUCCUUGGAGCUUGGUAGUCCGUGUAUCUAUCAAGGAGAGCAAUUGUCUGGCUAUUGGUGUGGUGACUUCGACAUCUUCUUCAAUGUUGUUAUGCAACAUGGUCCACCUUCUCCAACUCUCUGGACCGGUGGUAAUGGAUUGCAAGUCUGUCCUGCAUGGGCUGAUGCUCCAACCAACGUUUCUUUAGCGAUGUGAUCUCAUUCCAAACAGUGAGUGAUUAUU